UUGAGCGAUUUACUUCGGUAAAGAGCGGCGGACGGGUGAGUAACGCGUGGGUAACCUACCCUGUACACACGGAUAACAUACCGAAAGGUAUGCUAAUACGGGAUAAUAUAUUUGAGAGGCAUCUCUUAAAUAUCAAAGGUGAGCCAGUACAGGAUGGACCCGCGUCUGAUUAGCUAGUUGGUAAGGUAACGGCUUACCAAGGCGACGA
rnacentral:rRNA from 1 species